rnacentral:rRNA from 1 species
AGUGCGGCGGGUGAGUAAUACAUCGGAACGUAUCCUAAAGUGGGGGAUAACGCAUCGAAAGAUGUGCUAAUACCGCAUACGACCUGAGGGUGAAAGGGGGGGAUCGCAAGACCUCUCGCUAUUGGAGCGGCCGAUAUCAGAUUAGCUAGUUGGUGGGGUAAAGGCCUACCAAGGCAACGAUCUGUAGUUGGUCUGAGAGGCCGCCCAGCCCCUGGGACUGAGCCGGCCCAGACUCCUACGGGAGGCAGCAGUGGGGAAUUUUGGACAAUGGGGGCAACCCUGAUCCAGCCAUGCCGCGUGAGUGAAGAAGGCCUUCGGGUUGUAAAGCUCUUUCGUCCGGGAAGAAAUCGCAUCAGCUAAUACCUGGUGGGAUGACGGU